rnacentral:rRNA from 1 species
CUCUUGAUGAACGCUAGCUACAGGCUUAACACAUGCAAGUCGAGGGGCAGCAUGGUCUUAGCUUGCUAAGGCCGAUGGCGACCGGCGCACGGGUGAGUAACACGUAUCCAACCUGCCGUCUACUCUUGGACAGCCUUCUGAAAGGAAGAUUAAUACAAGAUGGCAUCAUGAGUCCGCAUGUUCACAUGAUUAAAGGUAUUCCGGUAGACGAUGGGGAUGCGUUCCAUUAGAUAGUAGGCGGGGUAACGGCCCACCUAGUCUUCGAUGGAUAGGGGUUCUGAGAGGAAGGUCCCCCACAUUGGAACUGAGACACGGUCCAAACUCCUACGGGAGGCAGCAGUGAGGAAUAUUGGUCAAUGGGCGAGAGCCUGAACCAGCCAAGUAGCGUGAAGGAUGACUGCCCUAUGGGUUGUAAACUUCUUUUAUAAAGGAAUAAAGUCGGGUAUGCAUACCCGUUUGCAUGUACUUUAUGAAUAAGGAUCGGCUAACUCCGUGCCAGCAGCCGCGGUAAUACGGAGGAUCCGAGCGUUAUCCGGAUUUAUUGGGUUUAAAGGGAGCGUAGAUGGAUGUUUAAGUCAGUUGUGAAAGUUUGCGGCUCAACCGUAAAAUUGCAGUUGAUACUGGAUAUCUUGAGUGCAGUUGAGGCAGGCGGAAUUCGUGGUGUAGCGGUGAAAUGCUUAGAUAUCACGAAGAACUCCGAUUGCGAAGGCAGCCUGCUAAGCUGCAACUGACAUUGAGGCUCGAAAGUGUGGGUAUCAAACAGGAUUAGAUACCCUGGUAGUCCACACGGUAAACGAUGAAUACUCGCUGUUUGCGAUAUACAGCAAGCGGCCAAGCGAAAGCGUUAAGUAUUCCACCUGGGGAGUACGCCGGCAACGGUGAAACUCAAAGGAAUUGACGGGGGCCCGCACAAGCGGAGGAACAUGUGGUUUAAUUCGAUGAUACGCGAGGAACCUUACCCGGGCUUAAAUUGCAGAUGAAUUACGGUGAAAGCCGUAAGCCGCAAGGCAUCUGUGAAGGUGCUGCAUGGUUGUCGUCAGCUCGUGCCGUGAGGUGUCGGCUUAAGUGCCAUAACGAGCGCAACCCUUGUUGUCAGUUACUAACAGGUUCCGCUGAGGACUCUGACAAGACUGCCAUCGUAAGAUGUGAGGAAGGUGGGGAUGACGUCAAAUCAGCACGGCCCUUACGUCCGGGGCUACACACGUGUUACAAUGGGGGGUACAGAGGGCCGCUACCACGCGAGUGGAUGCCAAUCCCAAAAACCUCUCUCAGUUCGGACUGGAGUCUGCAACCCGACUCCACGAAGCUGGAUUCGCUAGUAAUCGCGCAUCAGCCACGGCGCGGUGAAUACGUUCCCGGGCCUUGUACACACCGCCCGUCAAGCCAUGGGAGCCGGGGGUACCUGAAGUGCGUAACCGCGAGGAGCGCCCUAGGGU